AGCACUUGUUUGUGUUCUGGAGGUUAGUCAGUCUGACAGGGAUGAGAUGCAGUCUGAAGUACUUUCACUUUGCAUUUCCUGGGCGGAUAUUAACUCAUGGUGUGUAGCUGGAAAAUUAUUUCUCCCACUCUGAAGGACACAGCGACAAAUGACAACAACAUUUCUCAUCAGGGAGGUAAAUGAUGUGGCUGAUGUUUGUGAUUCCGUGGAUGUGCUGGAGCUAGUGUAAGUCAGUCUUGCACAUUGCUGGCUAGAAGAUGCAGGCUGCACUGAAGUACUCACGCAGUGCUGGAGUCUCUACAAUCUAGCCAUCCCAAGGAGACCCAGAUUCCAUUCUGCUUGAAGUCAGAUUCUCACCACUAAGCUUUAGCUGCACCCAAACUUGAAAGAUAUACUUGUACAAGUUAGCACUGCACAACUCCAGGGAGCUCGCUGUUUCAUGAUGGUCCUGGAAUCAUCUCAGACUCUCAUUCUCUCUUCCCAGAUCAG
rnacentral:lncRNA from 1 species